CAGCAGCCGCGGUAAUACGUAGGGGGCGAGCGUUGUCCGGAAUUAUUGGGCGUAAAGCGCGCGCAGGCGGUCCCUUAAGUCUGAUGUGAAAGCCCACGGCUCAACCGUGGAGGGUCAUUGGAAACUGGGGGACUUGAGUGCAGAAGAGGAGAGCGGAAUUCCACGUGUAGCGGUGAAAUGCGUAGAGAUGUGGAGGAACACCAGUGGCGAAGGCGGCUCUCUGGUCUGUAACUGACGCUGAGGCGCGAAAGCGUGGGGAGCAAACAGGAUUAGAUACCCUGGUAGUCCACGCCGUAAACGAUGAGUGCUAAGUGUUAGAGGGGUUAAACCCUUUAGUGCUGUAGCUAACGCGUUAAGCACUCCGCCUGGGGAGUACGGCCGCAAGGCUGAAACUUAAAGGAAUAGGCGGG
rnacentral:rRNA from 1 species